AACGAACGCUGGCGGCGUGUUUAAGACAUGCAAGUCGCACGGGAUAAGACAUGUAGUAAUACUUGUUUUAUUUAGUGGCGCACGGGUGAGUAACACGUGCAUUACAUGCCCUAUAGUGGGGACUCGCCCAGGGAAACUUGGAUUAAUACCGCAUGGUAUCGAAAGAUUAAAGGUGGCCGCAAGGUUGUAGAUAUAGGAUGUGUUCGCGCCCUAUCAGCUUGUCGGUGAGGUAACGGCUCACCAAGGAAAUGACGGGUACCUGGUCUGAGAGGGCGAUCAGGCACACUGGAACUGAGACACGGUCCAGACACCUACGGGUGGCAGCAGUCGAUAAUAAUUCACAAUGGGGGCAACCCUGAUGGUGCAACGCCGCGUGGAGGAUGACGGUCUUCGGAGUGUAAACUCCUGUCAUCUGGGAGAAAGACCUGACGGUAAAUAGCCGGCAGGGUUGAUAGUACCAGAAGAGGAAGGGACGGCUAACUUCGUGCCAGCAGCCGCCGUAA
rnacentral:rRNA from 1 species